UCUCAUGUCAUCUUUACUCUGGGCCCCAGGCUGGUGCCACAGGCCCUAGCUGGGGAUGAGGGGCGGGGAGGAAGGGUUGGGGGAGCAUCAUGAACCAUCCCUUGGCCCUUAAAAUUUCUGCUUGGAAGUGACACAAGGCUCUUCUACUCCAAUUCCAUUGGCCAAAGUCAAUCAUAUGGCUAAGUCUGCUGGCAGUGGGAGAGGGAAGGGACAAUCCUUCCCCAGGGAGCAGCAUGGACUAUUUGUGGAAAAUAGGACACACGUGGUCACCAAGAGAGGUAUCAGUCAAUUUCAUUGUAAAAUCACCUGCCUUAACUUACACAUAUUAACAGAGUCUUUAUUUGCUGUCUUAAGAAACAGAGGGAAAGUCAGGUCAGGUGAGGGGUUGAGCAAUAACAGAUUCAAAGUGCAGCAGGUGAUUGAGGAGCUGGUCAUGGUUGGAGGAGGACAGACACUGAGUCUGAGAUCCCAGGGAGACGUCCAUGGAGAAGGUUCCCAGCUGGGGCUUACAAAUGCAAGGAGACCACACUUCCAGAAGCACUCUCUUUGGCGGUUAGAGAACUUGGAAUGGAAGCACCUCCUCUCUGCACUGGGGCACGACAGCCCCCACGCGAAAGAGGACUUCCUAACCUGUUUUCCUUGCUCACAUGCUUCCCGUAUCGCACAGUGUCCUGGAGAGAGUCGGAACGAAGCAAUGGGGGUCACAGUCAAGAAGGCUGCAGGCAGGAGCCCCGUCUCCUGCUGACAGACAGUGUGGAGCAGACAAAGGGGCACAGGGCUGCUCCUCCAGAAAUGGCAUCCAGGUUCCCAGGCUUGGGGAAAAACGAACAUGAUUCUAUGGCUCGGGGACAGACAGAAAGGCCAAUGGAAUGGAAUCAAGUGACUAGAUGUUGACCCAAUAUACCUGGAAACUUGACAUCGUAUAGAAGUAGCAUUGAUGUGAGUGUGGAAAGGAUGGCCUAUUCAAUAAAUGGCUACCAGGACAUUUAUCUAGUUGAAAAAAAAGAUCCUACAAAGUUCUUGUUUAUGCUUUCUGCAAGCAAGAACAUUCUCCUAUAUAAUCUCAACACAACCACCAAAAUCAGGAAAUUAAUGCUGACACAUUACUAUCAUCUAAUUCUCAGACCCCCAUUCAAGUUUCAAAAUUGUCCCAAUAAUGACCUUUAUGGAAAAGAUAUACGGUUCUAAAUCACAUGUUGCCUCAGUUAUGUCUUUUUAGUCUUUAUCCAUCUGGAACAAUUCCUCAGUCUUUUCUUGACUUUCCUAAUCUUGACCCUUUUGAAAAUUACAGGCAAGUUAUUUUGCAGAAUUAUCCCUCAAUCUGCGUUUCCUUAAUGUCUCCUUGUGAUUAGAUCCAGGUUACUCUUCUUUUUUUGGCAGGAAUAUUGCAGAAGUGAUGCUGUAUUCUUCCUGAUAUGUAAGAUGUGAGGCAAAAAAAAGUCGUACUAAAUGAUUUUUCCAUUUACAUAAUAUUAAAAAAAUACAAACUAAAUAAUGUAUUUUUAAGAUACACAUAUACUAGUAAUACUAUAAAGAAAAGCAAGGGGAUGAUAAACGCAAAUCGAGGAUAAUGAUAAAAUCUAGGGAAGAGGGAGGAAAAUGUGAUUGGGAAGGAGCGUGUGGGAGCUUCAAGUGUUAUUUUAUUUUUCAUAUUUUAUACAUAAGUUGUAAAUCUUUUGUUUGCAUGACAUAUUUCCUAGUGUUUUAAAAAAUAAAACUCAUUUCAGAUGCUCAUUUUUCUGAUUUUGCAGUGGGCUAAUGGAAGUUUUUCUGGUCUUUGAGCUAGCAUCUGGAAACCAUGCCCUAGCUCACAAUGAUGAUGCAGAAUGACAGUGUUUGUGUAUACCUGUUGCCCCAGCCUAAUUAUUAAUAGUGCUCUCAAAAGUGUUCCAGAUUGGAGGAUAAAUUAUGCCAAGUUCUACCUAUGUGCAUAUGGCACCUUCAUUCUCAAGAGUUCAGAAGAGCGCUUAAUGAACUGCAUCCUCCUCUCAGACCUCAUCCAUCUUACUAGAUGACAGGGAAGCAUCCCUGAGAGAACCAGCCACUGGACCCGGGCCUGCAGUUGGCCAGUCUCGAAGCUGGGGCUGGAACCGGGGUCUCCUCACUUCCUCCAAGUGUCUGUUCUUGUGCAGCCUCUGCCAUGUCUGAGUCUUAGAGUAGGCCUGGAAAAUGCUGACCCCACAAACAGGAGCGAUUGCAUUAACACCAUUGAUCCUCGUGUCUAGAACAAGAUUUAGGGAAAUGGCCUUUGCAGAGUACGCAGCAGAUUGCUGGGAGGUUGGCAGCAAUUCAAUAUGACAAGUGCAGCGUAUUUUUUGAUUUGUAAUAUCUGUGGGUCAUAAUUCACAGAAUGAUAAGUCUUUGGUCUAAGAACCUUAAGCAAGAGAUAUCAUCUGCCACGAUGAGCUAAAAAGUCCAAAAACCACAAUAAAUGACUCCUGUGUGCAGACCUUUAUCUCUUUCACUCAGUAUUCUGCCUCUGGCAGUAGCCACUGUCACAGAGGGUGUCUUUUCCUUCAUGGCAUCAGUGGGCAUGGGGAGUAGGGACGGAAGGAGUGACAGUCCCAAGCUCCCCCUUAAUUAUGAAAAACGCACUAAUUCACAUCCCUGCAGUACUUACAGGUUUAGCCUGGAUGUAAAGAAUUCCUGGUUUACUAUCGACUAUAUGAAAUACAGUAGUUCUCUCAUUUGUCCAAAGGACCACCUAGCAGAAACUUCUAAAGGUUCCCAUUACUUUUUUUGCAGUGUUAUUGAAGUAUAGUUGACAUACGAUAAGUUGCACAAACUCCAAGUGUACAGCGUGAUGAGUUUUUACAUAUAUUUUCACCCAAAGAACUAUCACCACAAUUAAGAUAGUGAACAUAUUCAUUACCCUAAAAGUUUCCUUGGGCCCUUUUUUAAUUCACCCCUACUCUCUAUAUGACCCUGUCUUCUACUGAUCUGCCUUCUAUCGCUACAGGUUAGUCUGCAUUUUCUAGAAUUUUAUAUAAAGGGAAUCAUAUAAUAUAUACUCCUUUUUUGGUUUCUUUUGAGGAAGACUAGCCCUGAGCUAAAUCUGCCAAUCCUCCUCUCUUUGCUGAGGAAGACUGGCCCUAAGCUAACAUCCGUGCCCAUCGUCCUCUAUUUUAUGUGUGGGACGCCUAUUACAACAUGGCUUGCCAAGUGGUGCCAUGUCCGCACCAGGGAUUCAUGCUGGUGAACCUGGGGCUGCCAAAGCAGAACGUGCGCACUUAACCACUGCGCCACCCGGCUGGCCCCCUAUAC
ensembl:lncRNA